GCUGAUUAGCUGACCGAAGAACAGAUUGCUGAGUUCAAGGAAGCUUUCUCCCUAUUUGACAAAGAUGGCGAUGGAACCAUCACAAUAAAGGAACUUGGAACUAUCAUGAGGUCACUGGGUCAGAACCCAACAGAAGCCGAGUUGCAGGAUAUUGAUCAAUGAGGUGAAUGCUGAUGGAAAUGGCACCAUUGACUUCCCAGAAUUUUUUACUAUGAUGGCUAGAAAAAUGAAAGAUACAGACAGUGAAGAAGAAAUUCGCGAGGCAUUCCGAGUCUUUGACAAGGAUGGCAACGGUUACAUCAGCGCGGCGGAGCUACAUCAUGUCGUGACCAACUUAGGAGAAAAACUAACAGAUGAAGAAGUAGAUGAAAUGAUCAGAGAAGCAGAUAUUGAUGGAGAUGGGCAAAUCAACUAUGAAGAAUUCGUAGAUGAUGACUGCAAAAUGAAGGCCUACUUUCAACUCCUUUCCCCCCUUCUAGAAGAAUCAAAUUGAAUCUUUUACUUACCUCUUGCAAAAAAAAAA